UACGUAGGUGGCAAGCGUUAUCCGGAUUUACUGGGUGUAAAGGGUGUGUAGGCGGGUCUGCAAGUCAGAUGUGAAAACUAUGGGCUCAACUCAUAGCUUGCAUUUGAAACUGUGGAUCUUGAGUGUCGGAGAGGUAAAUGGAAUUCCCGGUGUAGAGGUGAAAUUCGUAGAUAUCGGGAGGAACACCAGUGGCGAAGGCGGUUUACUGGACGAUUACUGACGCUGAGACACGAAAGUGUGGGGAGCAAACAGG
rnacentral:rRNA from 1 species